UCGAGAAUCUUCGGCAAUGGGGGAAACCCUGACCGAGCGACGCCGCGUGCGAGAUGAAGGCCUUCGGGUUGUAAAUCGCUGUCAGAGGGGAGGAAAUGCCGGUGGGUUCUCCCACCGGUUUGACCUAUCCUCAGAGGAAGGACGGGCUAAGUUCGUGCCAGCAGCCGCGGUAAGACGAACCGUCCAAACGUUAUUCGGAAUCACUGGGCUUAAAGGGUGCGUAGGCGGUCCGGCAAGUUGGGUGUGGAAGCCCUCGGCUCAACCGAGGAACUGCGCCCAAAACUGCCGGGCUUGAGGGAGACAUAGGUGAGCGGAACUUAGGGUGGAGCGGUGAAAUGCGUUGAGAUCCUAAGGAACACCAGUAGCGAAAGCGGCUCACUGGGUCUCUUCUGACGCUGAGUGCACGAAAGCCAGGGGAGCGAAGAG
rnacentral:rRNA from 1 species